AACGAGACCUUAACCUGCUAAAUAGCCAGGCCGGCUUUCGCUGGUCGCCGGCUUCUUAGAGGGACUGUCAGCGUCUAGCUGACGGAAGUUUGAGGCAAUAACAGGUCUGUGAUGCCCUUAGAUG
rnacentral:rRNA from 1 species